rnacentral:tRNA from 1 species
GCAUUGAUAGCUCAGCGUCAGAGCGCCGGUCUUGUAAACCGGACGUCGGAGGUUAAACUCCCCCUCAAUGCU